UUAUAAUUGUCAAUUAGAUAAAUAUUUAUAAAAUAUCUCGGAAAAAAAAGAAAACUCGUUAAAUAAAAUAUAUGACUCGUAAUUCGUAGUUGCUCGUGGAACAUUUAUAAUCAAACGUUUCCUCGUUCGCAUAUCGCGCUAUAAUGGUGAUGAAUUUAUGAUCGUAUGUUACGUUUUUCAUCGACAUUUACAAUGCUAGUCUGUGUUAUGCGAAACGCUGAUCAAAUCACACAGUUAGCAAACUCAAUAUUACGUAUAUACCGUCUCAUAUAUCGUCUGUUAUAUUCGGGAUUAGAGCAGACACCGAGACAUGCAAUCCGCUCGUGUUUCCUGCAGCUACAGAUCAAGGAGGAG